GGAUCCUUAGCUCAGUCGGUUAGAGCAUCUGACUCAUAAUCAGAGGGUCGUAGGUUCAAAUCCUACAGGAUCCA
rnacentral:tRNA from 1 species